CAGGUCCAGAGAGGGCAGUGAGCUCUGAGCACGACGUGGAAGGAGUGAGUGGACAGUGGCUGCCCCUCAUUGCAGUGUAAUCAGGAGGACCUACAAAAGAGUAAUCUUAACAAGCAACCAACAUCAUGGAGGCAUUUGAACUCACAUCUCUGUUGCUGUUAACAGGGGAAACAGCAAUCUGGUGACUUGUUGGCAAAUCAGAUAACUUGUGUGGUGAUUCUCACUGAUCUUCAACCAUCAGAGGACUCUGCCAUUGGUUUCUCACCGUAAGUUGUGGC